CAAAUGAGAAGAGAACAAGGCACAGGGGGCAGCACAGGUUAAAGAAUAGAUAAAUUGGCAUCGGUUAAGGAUUAUAAUUGGCCAUAGCCCAAGGGAACCAUAAAUUAUAUUCAGGAGUUAUCUUAACCUCUUAACUUUCUGUUAACUCUUUAUAACACCGAGCCACAUUCAUAACACAGAUCACGUGUCCAAUCGAAUAAGCAAAAUUUAGUUUCCAUUUUUCAGUGAGAUCGCAGAAAAUUCUUCAGAGAUUUAAGUCCAUACUCCUCGAUCAUAAAAUGCCUUACAAUUAUCCAUAGAAUAAAAAUUUCUCUCGUCAAUAAUGUCCGGCGUGGUCAUGGUUCCCAGCGAAAGUUGCUAGUAGAAGAACGACGAAUUAUUAUAUCCCUCGGGUGGCGCAACGUCAGUCGACCAAGUGCACUUAAGCUCGAACAUGAAUGUAAUUCUCGCACGCUCGCGCGAGCCUGUCGUCACACAUGCGAAACACGUAUACACGAGGUAAAACACAGGGAAACAGCAGCGUGGCCGCGGUUUCGAAGCAUGCAUGCCAGUCAGGCUUCGUUCAAAGGCCCCCGAUUAAAUCUCACCUGGCUUAAUAUUAUUAUUUUACGUGGCGCCUGCGAGUGAAAACGAGCGACCCGACGAGAGGGCGAGGAAAUUAGAGAGAGUGCGAGGGGCGGGCAGGGAAGGUUGGAUAAUGCCAGUGGAUAAAAGCAAAUGGAACAGUGCAGGAAACACUGGCCGAAUAUCGUUCACGUGAACGAUCUUUGUACCGUCUAUGCAACCGUAAUUCCAGUUAUUUAGCCUCUCCUCCGACCUCCCCGGUUAUUCGUGAGUAGAAACGUUGUUCUGACUAGGUGUUUCCAGGUCUAUUACUAUUCAAAAUUAUCCAAGAACUGUUCAAAAAGAUGUUUCCGUCAUUAAGGUGUCGUUCGAUUGCUGUUUGCAAUUUAUUCAAUUGGCAACUAAGUAAUUGCGGAUUUUGUCAAUGCCAUCUAAUGGCAAAAUCCGCAACCACUUGCCAACCCAAUAUUAUAUUUUUCUAAGGUCGGUGGAAGAAUGUGUAGAGUAAGGAUGUAGGAAUUAAAUGAAGCUUUUAUAGAAUAUAGAGAUGUUGCAUGGUUUUAACCCGUUCACUGUGAAUCAGAUUUUUGUUACAUAUAAAUUGCCUUGUUAACAAAUAGUUCUGCGCCACACCUGUAUCUAUCCAGUUAAUCUUUAUAUGUACAUAAAUUAUAAUCAUUCGAACAUCUAUUACAUCUAUCACACUAUGUAUACAGUGGUUCACGUGGAAGUAUUG
rnacentral:misc_RNA from 1 species